UCGUAAGGGCUCCGGCCCCUUCGAGAUAGCACCCUUGCCUUUUUGAGUACUGUACGUUUCCUCGGCAGGUACGCCUGCCAACGGGGACCACCCAAAACCUAUUGUAAUGAGUGGUAAUCGUCUGAUCAAAAAACAAAUAUCA
rnacentral:misc_RNA from 1 species